rnacentral:rRNA from 1 species
CCUACGGGUGGCAGCAGUAGGGAAUAUUGCUCAAUGGGGGAAACCCUGAAGCAGCCACGCCGCGUGGAGGAUGAAGGUUUUCGGAUUGUAAACUCCUUUUGUUAGAGAAGAUAAUGACGGUAUCUAACGAAUAAGCACCGGCUAACUCCGUGCCAGCAGCCGCGGUAAUACGGAGGGUGCAAGCGUUACUCGGAAUCACUGGGCGUAAAGGGCGCGUAGGCGGGAUAGCAAGUCAGAUGUGAAAUCCUAUGGCUUAACCAUAGAACUGCAUUUGAAACUGUUAUUCUAGAGUAUGGGAGAGGUAGGUGGAAUUCGUGGUGUAGGGGUAAAAUCCGUAGAGAUCAAGAGGAAUACUCAUUGCGAAGGCGACCUGCUAGAACAUAACUGACGCUGAUGCGCGAAAGCGUGGGGAGCAAACAGGAUUAGAUACCCGAGUAGUC